rnacentral:lncRNA from 1 species
CGGCAGCUGAGGCGCUUUGUGGCCGCAAGAGGGGCGCACCCCGUUUCCUAUACGUACUUAUUAAGGCAAUGCUCAGCUGAUUUGCUGGGCGUCUCAAUAACUGCUCAAACGUACACGCAGGGUUCUGUCGCGGGAACGUACACGAGCACACGGCGCUCGAGGGGGCGGGCUUACAGCUCGUUUCCGGUUGAAAGUUCUAUACACUCUGCGAGUGGCUGCGCAGAUUGUCUAGACCUCCCAGCACAUUUUGUUGGCCGUGUUGAUAUAUUUAUUGCAUCGCAUGCAAAACAGGAAUCUCUUUCUCCCGGACCUACGGGCACAGCAGGACAGUAGCCGCACGGCGGGACUUCACACGCCCGCCGCCCACGGUCGAGUGCUUGUCAACCGGGUCCGGCGGACGGAGGCAGUCCUCUAGACGGUUUGAGCGACGUCCGUUUCCACUAUUUCGUUCCCUCCGAAAUUGUAAAGAACGUGAAUGAAUACGGAAACGGCUGAGUUGUUUAAGAAACCCAAAUCUGGAAAAACAACUGUCAUACGCAAUUGAAUUUGAAUUAUCACCCGUCGCCUGAUCGGAUUGUACAUUGAUCGCGUAUCGAAAGGCGCGCUUUCUCAGCACGCUGUGGCGUCUGUGUCCCAAUCAGUUUUACAGGAUUUGUUUAGGAACUCCCUCGUGGAAUGCAAGAGCCUCGUGAUGGAAGAUGUGGUCGUGUUACUUGUGGCACAACCCUCCCGACGGGGUUUCUGGGCCCAUAUAGAGGGAGAUGCCGCCGUAUUUCAGCCCUUCCCUGGGAGCUGCAGGUGGCGUAAGUUGAUGUUGCGUGUGUUAGUUUUAAUCGUGAUAGAUGAGCAGCACCUGGUCUAUUGCAAUAGUGGCACAUGUCCUUGUGAUCGACAGAGGUUAACGGUGGUGAAUGCCUCCCUGUGAAAAAACUGCACAACAGUAUCGAGAGACAGGAGCCUGGCGCAUGGGGGUUAUGCAGACGGAUGGCCGCGCAACGAUCAUCAUAAGCCGACUGCUGAGUGGACCGGAGGGACGCUGUCGAACCGAACAUUCCAC